UAAACAUGGCGGCCUCCUCGCAGCAGCGCAGCCACGUGGGAGGUAAAAGGCGGGGGGCGCACAGCGAUCCGAGGAGCUGAGGCAGAAAAAAUUCACCUCACCAUGCUGCUGACUCUUAAGAAUUCUUCCACAUCGGAAGCCUUCUUCAUGGCGCUGUGGGCGUGUGAUGUUGACACUUGGAACCAGAUAUCGAUGGGCAAGUGGGAGAAGGUCGCUGUCAGGUGUAAAAAAGAGCAGUGUAACGGCCCCCAUACACACGCCCCGCCCAGCUCCAGCCGUGAUCCAUUCGCGGACAACCUCGUGCACCCCGGGGUGCUGAAGGCUUCCUGCGGGGCCUCUGGCUCCCCGGCUGCCGAGGACCCCGAUGCAGUGCCGACGGCUCUUUGUGGACCUCCGCUCGCUCGCCGCCCCCACUGCCAAGCCCUGAGGUCUGGUACCUAGUGAUGCUCAGCCUACCACUGGCCAUUUCCCCCAUGCCUCCGGGACCCAGCGGGUCUUCAUGUGGACACUUGAAUCGUUCAGCUGUGAGACAUCGCCUCUGACUUUAACCUUCAAGCCUUUUAUAGAAACUAAGAACGUUAGCUACCGUGUCUAAAAAUUCCAAGACCUUCUAUUUUUUUUUUCUGUAUGCGUGCCCUUGCGUGUGCACCUGUGCAUAUGUGUGUGUGUAUGCACGUGUCUAUGUGUGUCUCUGUGUGUACUAGGGAACUUCAAAAAGUUCAUGGAAAAUGGAGUUAAGAGAUAAGCUUAUUGUGGUGCAAAAAGUUUUGAAAUCUCUGUGUUGUGAUCUGGCUGCGAAAUCCAUACUGAUUUUCAACCGAGCCAUCAGCCGGUGGUGCUGAGUGCGGGCACAGCCCUCGUCCGGGGUUCAGCAGGUGGGGCCCAGUGGGUGGCCCUCUUGGAAGUCAGUUUUCCCAAGGGAAUUGGCUGGAGAAGUUUGAGGUGGGCGCGGCCUCUGUUUCCCGGCUUGCUCUGUGAUCUCGCCUCACGCACACCCUGCCCGCAGCAGAGCCCAAGCCUACAGCUGCAUCGUGGACUGUGAGUGCAAAACCACGAGACCAAUAAUCCUCUUUUCUUCACAAGUCACUUGUGAGUGGAAAAUGGCAAAUGCACCACACGUGAGAGGUUUUCCAAAAGUCCAUGAAAAAGCUGCAUUUCCAAAGGGUUUAACCAAGAUUCACUAUCUUUUAGAUUCUGUUUUUGAGAAACUGGUCGAAGUGCUCCUGUGUGUGUGUUACCCAGUUCCCAUGUUGUGAAUGUGGCAGCCGCACAAGGAUAUCAUAGACUGUCCUCACAACCCACGUCCGCUCUCUUUAUUGGCUGUUCCCUCUGAGUUAACCAUCUUACAUUUUGCGUGUGAUGGUAGGGGGCUGUGCCUUCAUGUUGAUGAGCAAAGCGCUGACCACCAGGUGGCCCAGGCCCCCAGUGGGGCUGGUGGACUGCUGCCCCCUGCUGGUCGGGGGUGGGGCGCCGCCCACACCUGCUUCCUGAGGUCUGGGAGUGGCUGGGCAGGGGCUCCUGCUGCAAGGAGACUGGUCCGCAUCCCCUGCCUGGAUCCGCCCACGGCCCGGCCUUGGGCGAGGUCCGACCCUGUGUCCGGAGCACCUGCCGCUCACUUGCCCCAUGCACAGGCGGAGGCGCAGGGUCCACGUGAUAUGGGAGGGCCCGUCUGUGACACAUGCUCUGCCUCUGGCCCUCUGUCUGUCCCCAGGUGUCUCGCCAUCCUCUCCAUUGUGAAUAGCGCCUGUGCGUCCCCGCCGCAGUGCUUGGUGAGAGGGAGGGUAGCGCCACCUGGGCAGGCGGCCGCAUUGUGGAACCCGAGUUUGCUUUCCUAAACGUCUUCUGCCUCGCCUGCCUUCUUCCCUCUCAGCACGGGGUGUGCUGUGCCGGCUCCCCUUCCCCAUCUUCCUCUAGCACGUCUCCUCUUCAGCUGUUCUUGCGUGUGAAGCGUCAGGCGUCUAUGAUUCCCAGCACCCGGGGGAGACAGGACCUCUCUCCAGCGUGGUCCAAACUGCGUCGGUGCUCGGUGGUGGGCAGAGCUGUCUUCCCAGGAUGCACCUGGAGUUCAGUGCCCAUCUCACACAGAUGUAGCCAAAGGCUUUGGCGAGUUGACCAAAAAAGGUUUCCUUGGCCUCUUCCCGGUGAGGGUCUAUAAAUAGCCCCGCAGGCCGCCGCCGCGGUCUUCCUCUGUUCCAGGGCGUGGGCAGCAGGCGUGCUGUGUGUCCAUGCGGAUGCGGGCACCCUGCCGUGAUGAUGUGAUGCGAGGAGCAAGGAAGAACCGGCUCUCGUCAGCCUGAGGCCGUGACGACCAGCACACGAAGCAGCUCUGGUCUGCAGGGGCGGGCGACUUGCCUCUUCCAGCGACUGUUUUGUGCAAAGCUCCAAGGACGUCUCUUCAGAAGCAAGGAGGGUGCCAACCUGACCCAAGGGGCCACGUGGGCAAGCAGCUGCCCUGUGUGUCUGCCUGGGCAGUGGCACUGCCUGCCCUCCCUGGGGGCAGAGAGCUGGCCCCCAGACUCAGACAGGACCGGACGCUCUGGGCGCCGGUGCUGAGGGUGCCGCCCCUGCUGCCCGAGCCAGCCCCCCCAUCUCAGCCUCUGGGUUUCCCAGGCCUGUUUCCCAUAGGCAGCGGUUCCCGGCCCGGCCUGCAGGGUCCCCGGAACAGCUGUGGUGGGAGAACAGUCCGACGGCGCUGCCAGGUCAGGACACGGUGCGCAGCCGGGCACCGCGGCAUCGCACAGCAGCCGUGCGGAGCCAGACGUCCCAGAAAACCCUGGGAGGUGCAGGUGAGGGAGGCACCUCCUCCC